rnacentral:rRNA from 1 species
CCUACGGGUGGCAGCAGUGGGGAAUAUUGGACAAUGGGGGGAACCCUGAUCCAGCCAUGCCGCGUGUGUGAAGAAGGCCCUCGGGUUGUAAAGCACUUUCAGUGAGGAAGAACGCCUGGUGGUUAAUACCCAUCAGGAAAGACAUCACUCACAGAAGAAGCACCGGCUAACUCCGUGCCAGCAGCCGCGGUAAUACGGAGGGUGCGAGCGUUAAUCGGAAUUACUGGGCGUAAAGCGCGCGUAGGUGGCUUGAUAAGCCGGUUGUGAAAGCCCCGGGCUCAACCUGGGAACGGCAUCCGGAACUGUCAAGCUAGAGUGCAGGAGAGGAAGGUAGAAUUCCCGGUGUAGCGGUGAAAUGCGUAGAGAUCGGGAGGAAUACCAGUGGCGAAGGCGGCCUUCUGGCCUGACACUGACACUGAGGUGCGAAAGCGUGGGUAGCAAACAGGAUUAGAUACCCCUGUAGUC